GUUUAGUUUACCAGGUGUCUUUCUGUCAACACUGGUUCAUCCAUAGUUUGUUCUUUGUGGUUAUUAAUUGGGUUCUCCAAAUCCAUAGAUACCUAUAUUGGAUGAUAUAGUGUUGUGAGAAAUAUGGGAAGCAUCUUGGGUUGAUUUAGAUGUGCAUUUUCUUAUUUUGGAUAAUAACUGUUGUUUUGUUUGAUAAAAUGAAUGAAAG
rnacentral:misc_RNA from 1 species